UACAGAGGCCUCGAGCGUUAGGCGGAAUCACUGGGCUUAAAACGUGUGUAGGCGGAUGCCUAAGUACCUUGUGAAAUCCCACGGCUCACCCGUGGAACGGCUGGGUAUACUGGGUGUCUUGAGCCACUUAGGGGCUGCCGGAACAAAUGGUGGAGCGGUGAAAUGCGUAGAUAUCAUUUGGAACGCCAAUGGUGAAAACAGGCAGCCGGGAGUGUGCUGACGCUGAGACACGAAAGCCAGGGGAGCGAACGGG
rnacentral:rRNA from 1 species